rnacentral:rRNA from 1 species
UGGGGAAUUUUUCGCAAUGGGGGCAACCCUGACGAAGCAAUGCCGCGUGAAUGAAGAAGGCCUUCGGGUUGUAAAGUUCUUUCGUGGGGGACGAAAAGGUAAUCGCUAAUAUCGGUUACUGUUGACGUGAACCCAAGAAGAAGCGCCGGCUAACUCCGUGCCAGCAGCCGCGGUAAUACGGAGGGUGCGAGCGUUAAUCGGAAUCACUGGGCGUAAAGGGCGCGUAGGCGGUGGGUUACGUCUGCCGUGAAAUCCCCGGGCUCAACCUGGGAAUGGCGGUGGAAACGGGCUGACUAGAGUAUGGGAGAGGGUGAUGGAAUUCCAGGUGUAGCGGUGAAAUGCGUAGAGAUCUGGAGGAACAUCAGUGGCGAAGGCGGUCACCUGGCCCAAUACUGACGCU